UUAUUUAGAAAUAUAAAGAUUAGAGUAGUAAUAGUUAUGGUCUUGAAACUCAAAAAAUUUGGCGGUAUUUUAGUCUAUUCAGAGGAACCUGUAAUGUAAUCGAUAAUCCACGAUGGAUCUUACUUAAUUUUGUAAUUUAAUUUGUAUAUCGCCGUUAUUUGAAAAUUUUAUAAGAAAAAUAAUUUUCUAAAAUUUUUAUUAAAAAAUAAAUCAGGUCAAGGUGCAGUUUAUGAUUAAGUUUUAUAUGGGUUACAAUAAAGUUAUUUAUACGGAUUAAAAAAUGAAAUAUUUUUAAGAAGGUGGAUUUGAUAGUAAAUUUUUAAAGAUAAAAAAAUUGAUU
rnacentral:rRNA from 1 species